CACAUACUCCCUCCGUUUGAGAUUACUUGUCUCGAAAAUGGAUGUAUCUAGAACUAAAAUACGUCUAGAUACAUCCAUUUCUGCGACAAGUAAUUCCGAACGGAGGGAGUAUUUC
rfam:Triticum aestivum genome assembly, contig: Triticum_aestivum_CS42_TGACv1_scaffold_064237_1DL